rnacentral:lncRNA from 1 species
CAAAAAUGUCGGUUAUUGAUUUGGGGAUGUACGGCGGGCGGUCGGUCGGGCGGGCGGCAACCAAAUGUUGUCCGUGCAUUUACUCAUGAACCCUUCAACCAAAGCUUUUAAAAUUUUAAUAUGUUGUUACUGACAACAAAAUGAAGGUCAAGUUCAAUAAUGACGAUUUUGACUUUUACCGUUCAGGAGUUAUGGUUCUUGGAAGAUUGAAAAAUUGCAUUUCCGUUCGUGUCCGUGUAUUUACCCAUGAACUGUUCAACCAAAGCUUCCCAA